GACAGAGGGGCAAGCGUUGUCCGGACUGACUGGCGUAAAGCGCGCGCAGGCGGUCAGAGGCGUCGGUGCUCAAAGUCCACCGCUUAACGGUGGGGGAGCGUGCGAUACGCUCUGACUGGAGGGGGCGGGGCGAGGGGGUGGUGGGGAAUUUUUGCCCCGGGGUGUAGUGGGGUGAAAAUGCGUAGAGAUCGGGGCAGGAAAACACCCCAGUGGGGCGAAAAGGGGCGGGGCCCCACCCCUAGCCCCGCACCCCUGACGCUGAGG
rnacentral:rRNA from 1 species